CAUCCUUGCAGGGCAGCAGUGCUGAGGAUUAUCAUAGAGGGUGAUUUGUCACCUGUCCUCACUGAUUAUGGUGUGUUGAGGCAGGGA